rnacentral:rRNA from 1 species
UACGUAGGGUGCUAGCGUUGUCCGGAUUUACUGGGCGUAAAGGGCGCGUAGGCGGCGUGGUAAGUCACUUGUGAAAUCUCUGAGCUUAACUCAGAACGGUCAAGUGAUACUGCUGUGCUAGAGUGCGGAAGGGGCAAUCGGAAUUCUUGGUGUAGCGGUGAAAUGCGUAGAUAUCAAGAGGAACACCUGAGGUGAAGACGGGUUGCUGGGCCGACACUGACGCUGAUGCGCGAAAGCCAGGGGAGCAAACGGG